UUUUUUUUUUAAUUGACAUAGACUCAAGUCAUUUAGUAAAAUUUAAAAUUAAGAAGACGGCGCGUCGUAAAUGGUCGGGAUAGCUCAG
rnacentral:tRNA from 1 species